rnacentral:rRNA from 1 species
UGGCGGACGGGUGAGUAAUGUCUGGGAAACUGCCUGAUGGAGGGGGGUAACUACUGGAAACGGUAGCUAAUACCGCAUAACGUCGCAAGACCAAAGAGGGGGACCUUGGGCCUCUUGCCAUCGGAUGUGCCCAGAUGGGAUUAGCUAGUAGGUGGGGUAAAGGCUCACCUAGGCGACGAUCCCUAGCUGGUCUGAGAGGAUGACCAGCCACACUGGAACUGAGACACGGUCCAG